UCUUGUGUCCUUCGAUAACUAAUUUGCGUUUCUCGUAGACUGUCUGAACAUCCAGUGCAAAUUGUUAUAAUUAUUGUUAAUUGUUUUUAACGUGUUCAAUAUAAAUUUUCAGAGAAUACAAAUAAAAUUGCCUUUCAGGUUGCUUACUUUAUUAAUGCUGAAGGACCUCAAGGUUGUUUCCUCGAUUAUAACGUACAAAAGUCUCAUGCCAUUCAUGAAGUUAUUUUGAAUGAAUAAGAAUUUUCCAAUGCCCAUUAAUUGACAGGGGUACAAUUUAUUUUCUUUUGUUGAAUUUUGUUUUAGUUCUUCCAUCAAAUAUCCUCUGGCUUUGAAAUCGUGCGUCCCCUUUUGUCUACUGCUUCUUCUGUCGAUGAAUAUUAUUUUGUAGUCUUCAACGAAAGCUAGCGAAUCUCGAGUUUCGAUAUUUAUUCGAAAUUCACAUUGUCAGAAAUAAACUUCUUAUUGUUGUGCUUUCAGAAAUCAUUAAUUAUUUUUCGUGUUACUUGGAUUCUGUAUCGUUGGUUAAUUCUAUAAUAUUUUCUUUGGCUAUUUGUUGCUUAUCUGCGUCCAUAGAAUCAAAUUACUAUGAUACAAUGAAUCGAAGAGGAGGGGAAUCUUUUCUUGGAUGUAGUGGCAUAUGGGUUCGUCUUGUAAACUUGUCGAUGUAAAUUUGUUUUGUAAACUUGUCGGGUGGUUUCCUUUCCUCCUUGAUGGAUCAUUACUUUCUUUUCUGUAAUAUGUUUGGUAGAAACGAAUCUUCCGAGAUUUUGUUUUCUUUUUGCCCUUUUCUUUUUUGAGAGGGUUUCUGGUUAGUGGAUCCGUGUUUAGUGUGAAACUUUCCAUGUUUGUAGGUAAUAUUACAGUCGUAAUUAGAAAACUUCAAUUUCUAUUUCCAACUUUAUGAAGUACAAUUCUUAAACGAAUUCAAGUAUGGUCUAAAAUGAGUUCCACAAUAUGCAAUUAUUAAACAUUCCUUUUUCAUAGUGAAAGACAUUCUUUUCGACAGGAUUUGAAGUUCCACAUGCAUAAUGAGGUAAAAAGGUCUAUUCACAGAGGUCCUUGAUUCAAACCACCACCUGUAGCAUGUCUUGAUGGAUUUGUUAUUAAAUUCAAGAGUUUAGUGAAACAUAAAUGAUCCAUUGAAGAAACAUAGUUUUGCAUUAUGUCAACACUAUAAGCGUGUUUUCGGGGACGUAAUUUGAGGGAUGAGUAUACUUAACAUCACCGAAUUCGAUCAAAGAAUAUACAUACAAAAGGUGAAUAUAAUUACCAUCAAACUCUGGACUAUCAGCACCCUGCACCAUGCAAGAAAUUAGCUUUGUUUUCCAAAUAAAAUCAUCUGAAUGAAAGUUGGAUUUACUAAACAGACAUUGUUGUUUACAUCAAUGAAUAAUUAAUUUCUUUUUGAAUAUGUAAAAUAUGUAAAUAUAAAAUACAAAUGUAUAAUAUUAUUAAGUUA